AAUUGAACUCAGGAUCUUUGGAAGAACAGCCAAUGUUCUUAACCAUGAAGGUACCUCUUCAGCGCUUGGAGAUCUGAAAUUGAUCCUUGGAACCCACAUAAAAAGCCAGAUGAGCAAACUUCAGGUAAGGAAGCUCUGCAGUAACCCACAGCACAUACCUCACUCAGCUCAGGGAAGUUGUCCUGUUGACAGAAGGGGCACUGCCACAGCCCUGUCUCGUCAUUUCGGAUGGCCUGGUCAUAGCUCUCACCCUGUGGGCGCCUGUGAGCGAUGCCCGUGACAUUACAGAUGAUGUUUUUCAAGACAGGGCUUCUUUGUAUAGUCUGAGCUAUUCUGGAACUUGCUCUGUAGACCAGCCUGGCUUCAAACUCAGAGAUCUGCCUACCUCUGCUUCCCCAGUGCUGAGAUUAAAGGCUUGUGACACCAU
rnacentral:lncRNA from 1 species